UACGUAGGGCGCAAGCGUUGUCCGGAAUUAUUGGGCGUAAAGAGCUCGUAGGCGGCUUGUCACGUCGGGGUGUGAAAGCCCGGGGCUUAACCCCGGGUCUGCAUUCGAUACGGGCUAGCUAGAGUGUGGUAGGGGAGAUCGGAAUUCCUGGUGUAGCGGUGAAAUGCGCAGAUAUCAGGAGGAACACCGAUUGCGAAGGCGGGUCUCUGGGCCGAUACUGACGCUGAGGUGCGAAAGCGUGGGGAGCAAACAGG
rnacentral:rRNA from 1 species